UACGAAGGGGCUAGGCGUUGCUCGGAAUCACUGGGCGUAAAGGGUGCGUAGGCGGGUCUUUAAGUCAGGGGUGAAAUCCUGGAGCUCAACUCCAGAACUGCCUUUGAUACUGAAGAUCUUGAGUUCGGGAGAGGUGAGUGGAACUGCGAGUGUAGAGGUGAAAUUCGAUAGAUAUUCGCAAGAACACCAGUGGCGAAGGCGGCUCACUGGCCCGAUACUGACGCUGAGGCACGAAAGCGUGGGGAGCAAACAGG
rnacentral:rRNA from 1 species